GAUGAAGAACGUAGCGAAAUGCGAUACGUAAUGUGAAUUGCAGAAUUCAGUGAAUCAUCGAAUCUUUGAACGCAUAUUGCGCUCUUUGGUAUUCCGAAGAGCAUGCUUGUUUGAGUAUCAGUAAACACCUCAACCUCUUCUUGAUUUUUCAAAAGGAGGGUGGACUUGAGCUAUCCCAACAACCUUUACCGGUCGGCGGGCGGCUUGAAAUGCAGGUGCAGCUGGACUUUUAUCUGAGCUAAAAGCAUAUCUAUUUAGUCCUCGUCAAACAGGAUUAUUACUUUUGCUGCAGCUAACAUAAAGGAUAAUUGUCCUCUUUGCUGACUGAUGCAGGAUUUUACGACACUUUAUGUGUUGUUCAACUCGAUCUCAUAUCAAGUAAGACUACCCGCUGAACUUAAGCAUAUCAAUAAGCGGAGGA
rnacentral:misc_RNA from 1 species